GGGGGCGAUCGGUUUCGACAGCGUUGAUUGAUCGGUAUGAAGCGGGCCGAGGAUGUUUACUGACCUCGUUAACCACGUAUUCAAACAAUAGGUGCUGAACAUAACCGCACCGACUUCGCACUCGCAGCCUAAGCUAGCGAGCAAGUCCGUCAGCCCGGGUGCUGCCUUGAGCCCGGAUCCUGGCGUCGUUUGCAAGGCCACUGGGUUUCUAUCGCGUUAACCGGUAGCGACCGACACUUAGUUAACUGAGCCAGCCCUUCGCGUGUCUGCGCGUUAAGUGUUGGCUGAGAAAUUCUCUUCGCAGACUGCGCCCGGAGAAGACAUCGGGUUUCAACGUUGGACACGGGUUCAAUUCCCGUCGCCUCCACCA
rnacentral:tmRNA from 1 species